AUUGAACGCUGGCGGCAGGCCUAACACAUGCAAGUCGAGCGGAGCGGCGGACGGGUGAGUAAUGCCUAUGUAUCUGCCUGGUAGUGGGGGAUAACGUCCGGAAACGGGCGCUAAUACCGCAUACUAUCAGAUGAGCCUAGGCGGGAUUAGCUAGUUGGUGGGGUAGAGGCCUACCAAGGCGACGAUCCCUAACUGGUCUGAGAGGAUGACCAGCCACACUGGAACUGAGACACGGUCCAGACUCCUACGGGAGGCAGCAGUGGGGAAUAUUGCACAAUGGGCGAAAGCCUGAUACAGCCAUGCCGCGUGUAUGAAGAAGGCCUUCGGGUUGUAAAGUACUUUCAGCGAGGAGGCGUUACUCGCAGAAGAAGCACCGGCUAACUCCGUGCCAGCAGCCGCGGUAAUAC
rnacentral:rRNA from 1 species